rnacentral:rRNA from 1 species
ACGCUCGACACCUACGGAGGCAGCAGUGGGGAAUAUUGCACAAUGGGGGAAACCCUGAUGCAGCGACGCCGCGUGGAGGAAGAAGGUCUUCGGAUUGUAAACUCCUGUUGUUGGGGAAAAAGAGGAUGGUACCCAACAAGGAAGUGACGGCUAACUACGUGCCAGCAGCCGCGGUAAUCUGAGGCGGGCGUGGGACGAAGGC